CUAGAAUACAUUGGUAUUCAUAUUACUAGAAUACAUUGGUAUUGAAGGAACUAGACUCUGUUCCGAAAUAUCACUAACUCGAACCGUCCUGACCGCGUAGCUCAGUUGGAAGAGCAUUGGGCUAGUAUUCCAAAGGUCGUAGGUUUGAAUCCCACUGUGGCCGGGCAUAUUUUUCGGGCUCGCCCGGUGUGGAUAUGCACGCAUAGUAACACCACAAAUAUCAUAUUCACCUGAGUACACUACACCAUCAAAGAAAAAAAUAAAAUAAAAAAAUUUAAAAAAAAAUUCAUAUUACUAGAAUACAUUGGUAUUGAAGGAACUAGAUUCUGUUCCGAAAUAUCACAAACUCAAACCGUCCUGACCGCGUAGCUCAGUUGGAAGAGCAUUGGGCUAGUAUUCCAAAGGUCGUAGGUUCGAAUCCCACUGUGGCCGGGCAUAUUUUUCGGACUUGCCCGGUGUGGAUAUGCACUCAGAGUAACACCUCAAUUAUCAUAUUCACCUGAGUACACUACACCAACAGAGAAAAAAAAAAUUAUAUUACUAGAAUACAUUGGUAUUGAAGGAACUAGAUUCUGUUCCGAAAUAUUACUAACUCAAACCGUCCUGACCGCGUAGCUCAGUUGGAAGAGCAUUGGGCUAGUAUUCCAAAGGUCGUAGGUUCGAAUCCCACUGUGGCCGGGCAUAUUUUUCGGGCUCGCCCGGUGUGGAUAUGCACUCAGAGUAACACCACAAAUAUCAUAUUCACCUGAGUACACUACACCAUCAGAGAAAAAAAUAAAAUAAAAAAAAUUAAAAAAAAAAUUCAUAUUACUAGAAUACAUUGGUAUUGAAGGAACUAGGUUCUGUUCCGAAAUAUCACAAACUCGAACCGUCCUGGCCGCGUAGCUCAGUUGGAAGAAUAUUGGGCUAGUAUUCCAAAGGUCGUAGGU
rnacentral:tRNA from 1 species